CGAGAUGUAGCUAUGACUAAAGCAUUCAGCUUACACCUGAAAGAUAUCUACUCCACCACUAGAUCAUCUCGA
rnacentral:tRNA from 1 species